UACNGGAGGCAGCAGUGGGGANUAUUGGGCAAUGGCUGAAACUGCUGACCCAGCAACGCCGCGUGGUGGAUGAAGCCCUCUCGNGGUGUAAACACCUUUUCUGGGGGAAGAUANNGAUCGNACCCCCCAGGAAUAA
rnacentral:rRNA from 1 species